UGUACUGUGGAUUGGAAAGUACGCUUUGCAUCAUCUGCGACAUAGCGGGGUUUUGCAGUAUUUGGCUCAAUUGAGAAGCAUCUGGAGUCGCACCAAGAGGUGAGUCCGCUCCCAGCAUACCGAGUCCACCAAGGCCUCCAAGCCCACCAAGACCACCAAGUCCAGCAUUUGUCCUUCCAGGGGCAGUUGUCUGGCCUGUCAAGUAGCCCCACAAUAUGUUCUAAAAUCUUUAGUGCAUUACGAGUAACAGUUAAACUAGAAACAAACAGCCAAGAAACUUAUUCAUAGACAAACUAGUCAUAACAACAAACUGUGAGAACAUGAACUCACCAAUUAUUACUAUAAUCAAUACUAUUCCUGACCAGUGUGGUAAACAUAAACUUUCACUUCUUAAAAACAAGCCACUCUUGCUUUUAUAUUUAAUAUUUCAACCUUAAACUACAAGUAAAAUCCCAUAUGAAAUUAAGAGGAUGAGAAUACAGUUUCUUACCAGCCGUGGCACCCCAAGGAUUAGGAAGUGGAUUUGCAUUAGGUGUACCCGUUUCAGCAUUCGGUGCCGAAAUAUUAUUAGAAGUAUCGCUUCCUUGUGUAGUAACCCCCUGGUUUCCCAGAAGAGCAGCAAAUGGAUUAGAGCUCGUAUUGUUUCCAGCAUUCUCGGACAUAGUGGUAGCAUUCAUUAACGGUUCCUGGACAUUUUCAUACAUACGCCUAAGCAUGUUAAAUCCCUCAGGCAUAGACUCAAUAUUACUCAUAGCCCUAUCAGUAUUUCUCAUCAUUUCACGCAUAAGCUCUGGGUUUCUCGCCGCUUCUAGAGUUUGACGAAGGAUGCUUGGGUCAUUGAGCACAUGACCAAGCUCAGGAUUGCGAUCUACAAGCUCACGCAUUUGAGGGUUAUUCAUAAUCAUACUCCUCAUAAAUUCUGGGUUGUUCAUAAGAUUCUGGAUGGCUGGAGUAUUCAUCAUCUCUCUAAUCAUGUUAGGGUUCUGAGCUAGUUGUUGCUGUGCCUGCUCAAGAUCAGGAAGACCAGAUCCAAAUAAUCCAGCCAUAGCAUUUCCACCACCCAAAGGAUUAAAUCCAAGGCCAGGGAACAAAGAUUCACCUCCUCCGAGGUUUGAGCUAUCAUUUGAACCAACCGCUUGAGGAGCAGUGGUUUGGUUUCCAGCAUUUGCAGCGGGAGCAGAAGGAGAAGAAGGCACAAAACCUCGAACCAUAUGAACGGUGUGAUCAGCCUGCAAACCUAUAUAUAAAAUGGUCCACAGAGAAAGGAAACAUUGAGGCUCAUGAUGCAAAACAAUAAAACGUGGAAACUAUCCAACACAAUCAUAUCAACAACAGCCAUUGAUGGAGAAAAUAUACAUCCCAAGAAGAUACAUGAUCAUGAGAACAUUAGGAACUCUAAGAAUGGUAUGAAUCAAUUAUCGUAUCACUAACUACAUCUCCUUAUUCUUCCCAUAGAAGGAUUAAGCAUACAUCAAAACUCAUAAAAUCAUCCAUGCUUCUGUAAAAACCUAACAUAAAUCCAAUGUUCCAACCCCCUAGAAACCCUAUGAGAUUUUCAGUCAAAUUAAAGCAACGGAACAACAGAAAUGAAACACGAAAUGAUCAGAAAAUUACCAUAGCUGAGGAGAGUCUGAUCGUCUUUGAGGAUACGUCCCUUGUAAAUCAAACGCUGCUGAUUUGCCGGCACAUCGCUGUUCUGCGCAAUUAACUCUUUGAAAGACUCCACCGUGGAAUCGAGGCUCGUCGUCACACUAAAUUUCGUGCCAUUGGAGCAUCUGACGUUCACGGCAACAGCUACGCCUUCAGCAGUCAGCGGCUGCCUCGAAUCUGCUUCACCACCCAUUCUAAUUUCAGAUCCUAGUUCAACAAAUCGCGAAAUUGAUCGGAGAAUCAAAAGCUCUAAACCUAGAAGAAAAAAUCGUAGAAGAAGAUUUGAGGAGACUCGAAGCUCUAAUAAGUCGGUUCUGAAGAUUUCUUGAGGAAAGGGAUAUAAAUUAUUUUUGGUCGAAUAACAAAUGAGACUGCAGAAAAUUAAAGAGUUAUUUGGCCCCGAACGGCCAAUUAAAUGAGAAUCCAGAAAUGACUUGCGCUUCAGAGAACGUAUCGACGACUCUUACUGGGUAAGAUUGGGCCGGGUCGGGUCUAAAUUGAGGCAUUUGGUAUAUAGUUCAGGAAGGAAUUGGCUGUAACUUGAAUCUAAUUGAAGAUGAUGAAUCAACUAAUUGGAUAUUCCUUUGCAACAUGCCACUUCUCUCUUUGGGCAAUUUGGUUUAACCUUUGAACCGGAUCAGAAGGAACCAAAAAUUUAAUGGGUUCAAUUUCACUUUGAUGUCUAUAAACAUUUACAGAUGUUGUAUGUUGUAACAACUUGAAAUAAGUUAUCAAAGAUAAACACCCAAGAUAUAUAGGUUUAAGGGUAGUUAAAGACGAAGAGUGACCACUGAUAACAAAUACCGUAUUGAUGCGGCUUUUCUAUCAACAAAGUUCACGAUCCUAUCAUAUAUAAAUUUUUAUGAAUUCGAUGAAUAUAUCAUUACUGAAAAACACACAUUCAAGCUGUUUAUUCUAUAACUGAGAAGCCAGAUGGAGAGACAUCAGUUCAUGAACCUGUAUGCUACUGUCCGAUACUCCCCAAGAGUCGUUCUACAGCAGCGUUAACGUUACCAUUGGUUGCAAGCAACGCCCUAAUGUUCUCUGCUCUGUCAUAGAAUCCCAUUUCCUGCAACUGUUGCAAUUGAGUAGCGUACCGCUCUUCAGGAGGAACUGGAAUCAAACAGACAAGUUUCAGUGGAACCAUCACAACAGAUGCGUAAGCUAAAAAAAAUUUGUAGUCUCUAACCAUUGGAUUGGUUCGUGCCACUCAGGCCGCCAGCACCAAGACUGCCAAACAUAUUCAUCAAUAAAUCCAGCCCCCCGUUAUUUCCUGUCCCCAUCAGUAUUGUCAUUCUACUAUUAACUUGUAUACGAUACAAUAUCUGCUAAAAUAAAACAUACAUGAAAGCAAAGAGAACUAAAGAGUAGCUGCUAUACUACGUAACAUAACUAAACCCUUUAUACUACUGUAGAAUAAAUACAUAUAAUAUCUUUAAGAGUACCUGUGGCAGCACCAGUUUGCCCCGCAUCCCUACAGAGAAGAUAGAUUUGGGAACAUGAAUGCGGAUUGAUGAAAAUCAAAAUAUGGAGAUUAACACACAUAGCUUAUGCUAAAAGGCAUAAUCAAAAACAAACAAAAUGUUAUGAGCCCUAUUCAAGUGUAUUCCAACGAUUAAAAUGCUUUAUUUAUAGCCUCUUUGAUAGAUGUUACUAGUGAUCAGCCCAGUAAAUCAUACAAGAGUUGCUGCAUUAGUCAUGGUUCAAUCCUUUUCUUAUUAUAGAGAUCGUUCACAACCAAUCUUUUUAGCUAGUUACAACAUUGUCUAAACACUAAACAACCCAAAAAACAAUAUGUAAAGGACAUGUAAAUGCUCAACUUUGUUUAAGCAAAUCCAAACAACGAAGGGUUUUAACAAAACUUACUGGCUGGCUGUAUUUCUAUUCUGAGAUAGUGAUUGCUGUAGAGUCAUCAUUUGCUGAAGACCAAAAAACAAUAGAAAACAUUAGGUUUAAGAAACUUCUUUACUUUGUCCCAAAAAAAAAAAAGAAAAGAAACUUCUUUACUUGAAAAUAGCUUAGAUACAAAGAAAUGUUUCUUUUGAGAGACUACCAUGUUAAAAAUUCAUAUGCAUACAGACAAUAGGGGACAAACUAACCUGCAUCAUCUCCGGAGAACUAAACUGACGAAGGAAAUCUGGGUUCUGCAUCAUUUCCCUCAACUGAGGAUUCGAAUCUAGCAUGCUUCGGAGUUGUGGGUUAAGACUCAUAAGCUGGAAUCAAGGGAAAACAAUUAAUAUAUGUUCACAAUGGUAAAAGGCUCUUAAGUUCAGAUCAUUCUAGGCCUACCUGAUUCAUGUAUUGUGGAUUGGAAAAUACGCUUUGCAUCAUCUGCGAUAUGGCUGGGUUUUGCAAUAACUGGCUCAAUUGAGAAGCAUCUGGAGUCGCACCAAGAGGUGAAUCCGCUCCAAGCAUACCGAGUCCACCAAGGCCUCCAAGGCUUCCAAGACCACCAAGGCCACCAAGUCCAGGGCUCCUCGCAUCCCCACCAACAUU
rnacentral:lncRNA from 1 species